GAUGAACGCUGGCGGCGUGCCUAAUACAUGCAAGUCGAGCGAACAGACGAGAAGCUUGCUUCUCUGAUGUUAGCGGCGGACGGGUGAGUAACACGUGGAUAACCUACCUAUAAGACUGGGAUAACUUCGGGAAACCGUAGCUAAUACCGGAUAAUAUUUUGAACCGCAUGGUUCAAUAGUGAAAGACGGUUUUGCUGUCACUUAUAGAUGGAUCCGCGCUGCAUUAGCUAGUUGGUAAGGUAACGGCUUACCAAGGCAACGAUGCAUAGCCGACCUGAGAGGGUGAUCGGCCACACUGGAACUGAGACACGGUCCAGACUCCUACGGGAGGCAGCAGUAGGGAAUCUUCCGCAAUGGGCGAAAGCCUGACGGAGCAACGCCGCGUGAGUGAUGAAGGUCUUCGGAUCGUAAAACUCUGUUAUUAGGGAAGAACAAAUGUGUAAGUAACUGUGCACGUCUUGACGGUACCUAAUCAGAAAGCCACGGCUAACUACGUG
rnacentral:rRNA from 1 species